rfam:Chloroflexi bacterium 54-19 SCNpilot_cont_500_bf_scaffold_234, whole genome shotgun sequence.
CCUGUUAUUCCACUAACAGUACCCUAUCAGGAUAUGCGACUGUGGUAACGCAGUGGUGUAAAGCUCCUGAGACAACGGAACCACAGCUAAAACUGGCGCUCAGUUCGUGAGAAAUGAGUGUUUCUGUCAGCACCGGACGGAUAGGUUC